ACACACGCACGUACCGGCUGCUCCGCAGGGACGUAGAGAGCCGCAGGCCCAAGGAGGGGCCGCCCCCGCCGAGCCCGCCCCUCCGCCCCAGCGCGGCCUGUCACCGCGGCCCCAGGUCGGGGGCUGCCGCAGGGCCCCCGGGGACCGGAGGGGCGCGCGAGGAGUCGGGCGCGGGCCUUGGGGCCAGGCCCGUCCCUCUUUCACAUGAAGCCCGGGCCGGGCGGGGUGGCGGGCGCGUGAAUCCUCGCAGCCGGCCGGGUCCUCCUGGCGCUCCUCGGCACUUCUAGCCGCUGCAACCCCGAGGCCCGCGGGAACUGGGCAGGAAAGGAGGAAGCCGCGGGCCCGCGUCGCUAGAGACCGGAGAAGAGGCGGGAGUGGCGACUCUGCGGACAGGGGCGCCGAGCGUCCUGGUCGUUGUUUUCGUCGCCGCCGCGGGCCGUGCAACCCCCGAACGCUGCGCCCAGCGGCCGCGGCACCCUCGUCAGGCGCCGCCGCUGAGGGCAGGCAGCCCGGCAGCCACUACACACGGACCCGUGACGUCGGGCGUAGCGCGGCGCACGUCACGGCCGCUCGCUCGUGCGCGCGCACCCCUCCGCCCGGCGGUAGCGGAACCCGCCGCGGGCGCGCGCCCGGCCCAGGGGAGUGGGUCGGCGCCUGCGCAGAGGCCCGCCACGCCCACACACAGGCCACCGCCCCCACCGGCCGGACGGCGCGGGGAUUCCCAGUCCUGGCUCCGCCCCGGCCUCGGCCCCGCCCCCGCCCCUGCCCCGGGGCAGCCUGUGCUGUUCCGUGUGCGCGGCGCAUACGCACCUGGGUUGUCUCGAGCCUGCGGUAGUGGCCAGAUCCCAGACAUCCGAGUAGAUCCCGUGAAAAGCUUCUUCUUGGUUUCUUCGUACAUUCUGGAUCCACCCCUUUCAUGCAUAUUCCAGACCACAUUUCCACUGGAGCAGUUGAAAUGAGAGAGAUGGGAAUGGGACUCACCCGAACCAGAGGAAUUUUUAUUACAGACCCAUUAACAGAGGUGUCAAAGUCACAGGAACAAGGAUGUGCACCUCAGAAACACAGAGGUCAGUGGAAAAUCAGUUUGCUUCUAUUUGUUUAAAAAAUGGGGGACUUAUGCAUAAAUCUAAGACCUUCUUGAAUCUAACAUUCUAAGACCUGUAUGCCACAGAAAGGAGGGUCUCAGAACGCCGGAGGAUAGUAUUUAAAUCUUAAAUAUCUAUAUUGUUCUCCACAGUUACUGGGUCACCACAUAGCAGGCAUUCAAUAAAAACGUGUUUGUUUACUAAGUAAUCUAGAGAUAAAUUUUUUCCCCUCAUAGUGCUGCUCAUUUCUCCACUCCCUUCCCUCACUUACCACCCCGGGGACUUCAUUCACCUCUGGGUUCCUCAGAAACAUCCCGUGGGUAUAGUUAUAGUAGCUAUUCUUUCUUUUUCGCCAUUCUCCUUUUAUAUUGGUGACUUUUCC
rnacentral:lncRNA from 1 species